AUUGGUUUGUGGCUGUCUUUUGAAGCCCUUCCUUUCUUGUGAAGGCACAAAAGUAAUGGCAAGAGUCGAAGGCCUCAUCAUCAUUUGGGUUCAUGAAAUGAAACACGUGCUAAUAAGAUGACUGGUGUUAGAAAAUCAGAAGUCUCCCUGGAAAAACACAUUUUUCCAUAAGACACUGACUAUAUCCUACAUACGAUUAAGUAUUUUAUUAAUCUAUUACACAAAGAAAAAAAAUCUCAGUGAAAAAACUUCAGUAUUGCUUAACUCCCCACCCCAAAACAUACUCAUGCAAGUCCACUCUGACCAACCUCCUUCAACCCUCUCCACCAAAAAGAAAAAAUUAGAGAAGUGGAAUGUUCUCAAAUUUCUUAUGUGGUUAACUCAGCUAUCUCAAAUAGUCAAGUCCAAUAAUUUUUAAGUGAUAUUUUAAAAAUAAGUCCAGUCGAGGGUGUUCACCAAGUCCUAUUUUCUGUGGGCUACCCUCAUAAACACUGUUGUGUUUAUUAGACUGUAAACACACUGGCAAAUGUCUGUGUGACUUAAAAUUCAGAUUGUGGCAGCAGUGUAAAUCACUGUGCCUAACAAGUUUUCUUGGCAUGCCACGUUCAGUGUUUUUUAAUGCAGAACUAUUUGAUCUUUGCUCAAAUUGCUUUUCUUUCUGGAUAUAGUUCAGUUUUCUAAAUUUAUCAACACAGAAAGAGUUGCUAAGCUAGAACUGAAGUAUAAUGCAUUAGUCCAAGUGUUAUUUGUAUAGUGAGUAAAUAGCAGAAUGUAUUAAGAGGCUAUUAAGCUUAUCAUCAUCCAUCAUCAUUCAUAGGUUGGAAACUACUCACUAGGAGAAAUACCUCUAGCCCUGUGCUUCAUCUGAUUUAAUACUUCACUGAACUUAACUUUUCCAGGUAGGGUUAACAGAAU
rnacentral:lncRNA from 1 species